AAUUCUUCAGCUGCAACAGAGGACCGAAGGGGAAAACAGCAGCUCGAAAACAAGAUCCUGAAGACAGAAGAAAAUCAGCAGCUGAUGGACAAGACAAAGGAAUUUACGGCUGAGAAACGAUGCCCUAUGUGACUGUGUAGUUUGGCAGAGGUAAAGUGCCAGGUUGAGAGGCAGAGAAACUCCUACGACAGAAGGAGAAAGUCCUGCAACUAUAGACCGAAGAAGCAGCGCGGAUGGCGAGGCUCAUCCAGGAAGAAAACGACGCAACCGAAAAACGCGAAUUCGGCAGGAAAGACGUCGAUGUGAGGUUCCAGCGCCUGCAGAAUGAAGUGGAAGACAUGACAAAGGAAAAGGGUGGACUCCAG